UCUGGUAGUGAUAGCCAAGUGGACCCACCUGUUCCCAUACCGAACACAGUAGUUAAGCACUUGAACGUCGAAAGUACUUGGGUGGAAACGCCCUGGGAGGAUAGAAAACUGCCAGUUA
rnacentral:rRNA from 1 species